rnacentral:rRNA from 1 species
CCUACGGGAGGUAGCAGUAGGGAAUAUUGCUCAAUGGGGGAAACCCUGAAGCAGCAACGCCGCGUGGAGGAUGAAGGUUUUCGGAUUGUAAACUCCUUUUGUCAGAGAAGAUAAUGACGGUAUCUAACGAAUAAGCACCGGCUAACUCCGUGCCAGCAGCCGCGGUAAUACGGAGGGUGCAAGCGUUAUUCGGAUUCACUGGGCGUAAAGAGCGCGUAGGCGGGAUAGCAAGUCAGAUGUGAAAUCCUAGGGCUUAACCAUAGAACUGCAUUUGAAACUGUUAUUCUAGAGUAUGGGAGAGGUAAGUGGAAUUCUUGGUGUAGGGGUGAAAUCCGUAGAGAUCAGGAGGAAUACUCGUUGCGAAGGCGACCUACUGGAACAUAACUGACGCUGAUGCGCGAAGGCGUGGGGAGCAAACAGGAUUAGAUACCCGGGUAGUC